CCGCCUUGGAUGGACAGAGGGACGGAGCAGCGAGCAUCUGGCCAGUCGUGUCCCCAGCUCCCCUACAGCGGUCUCCAGCUGCUGUCUGCCCGCUGCCCGCCUGCCUGGCAUCUCUCUCCCGGUGCUAGCUGCAUUCCUGGCCUGGGAGAAGGGAGCCUGUCCGACCCCCCAUGUCAUGCUGGAUGGCUUUGCAGAGGUGCCUCACCUGAUCCUGGAUGGAUGUCAUCACCCUACAGUGGUCCUUUCAUGACAGGCCACAGGGCCACCAUGUGAUGAACAGGAUACAUCUGCCACGACUGGGAGGUGGGGCUGCUUCCCAAAGGACCCUGUGCCAGGUGAAGAUGAGCCAGGGUCUCUGUACUGGCUGGUUUUGUGUGUCAACUUGACACAGGCUGGAGUUAUCACAGAGAAAGGAGCCUCAGUUGAGGAAAUGCCUCCAUGAGAUC
rnacentral:lncRNA from 1 species